CAAGAAACAACUAUAGUGUAUCUGCAUAGCUUUUUUCUUUUUGUUUUAGGUCUUGAGCAUCCAAGUGAAAUGUUUCCAUGAGAUCAUUACUAUAGGUUACAGAGUCUAUCACUCCUAUGAUUUACCAUGGUUUAGAUCCCUCAGCUGGUACUUUUUGCUUUGUGUCAACUACUUUUUUUACGGGGAAACUGUGGCUGAUUACUUCGGUACAUUUGUUCAGAGAAGAGAACAGCUUCAGUUUCUAAUUCGUUACCACAGGUUUAUAUCUUUUGCACUCUAUCUGGCAGGCUUCUGCAUGUUUGUUCUGAGCUUAGUGAAGAAACACUACCGUCUGCAGUUUUACAUGGUGUGUAUUACCUACUUUGCCCUGGUCAGUUGCAUACAUAUAUCACUAGAAAGGGUCAUGUCCUUACGUUCAUAAAAUACCUUGAAAGGUGGGGGUGUGAAACCAAGUGAUGUUGGGCUGUUGGGUGUCUCUACCUAUACAUUGGGGUUUCUUAUCGUCUCACAAAGCAGUCUUUCACUGAGCAAGGCCCUGUACACACUGUGACACUGCUCCUGUAGUGGCAGGUGGACAAGGGAGAGGCUCCCUCUGAGUGCGUGCGCCUUCCGUGCAGGUUGGAAGCCAGACACAUUCGGCACGGGGUGGGACAUGGUUCUGGUGUCUCAAGCACCUCUUUGCAGAGGCCCCAUUGCAGUGGUAGGAAGGAAACCUGACCUGAACGCCUGCACAGGAGUUGGAGUCUGUGACACUUAACAGUUGUUCUGGCCCAGUGCUGUGCCCCAAUAGAUCAUUCUUGUCCUGUAAGAAACCAGUGUUUCUGACUCCCAAAUCUGAUUAAAAAUAGGAAUGAUCAGAAGCAACAGUAAAACAGUAAUACAGUACUACUUGUCUUUAAAGAACUUGAGUGAUCAGGGUGUUGUGCAACCUUAAAGAUUACUUAAAGGUCAGUGGCUGCAGUUAACCCCUUUGUUUCUACAGGGCCUUAGGUGACACUUUACCACUGUGGGUCCCUCAUUUUGGACUAGGACUUAGCUGAGCACUAUAGCAUUAAAAAACAACAGAAAUUAUAUUCAAAAAUGAUUUACCCUAUUUGUGGGAGAAGUUGCUUCACUGGGGGGAGAUGCAGCUUUUUGGGAAGAGGUGAUUUUGGUUUUGUAAUCGACAAAGCACGUUAUCUUUGAAUUGGCACAAGGUAAUUAUAUUUAUUUUCCCUGAUAUCCCUCUCUUCCCU